GGUGUUUGUGGUUUGUUUUACUAUGUAAUAAACAGAUCAAGAGCAACUCAGACUAUCACUUCUGAAAUUCUGCUUUUAAAAAAAUUUCCAGUAAAUGGCUAGUUUUGUUAUUUAAAAACCAACGGAUACUGAGUUUUAAAAUUGCUGUGAUGCUGGUUGGUGCGUGUUCAUGUAUUAAAAUACGUAUGUAACCUUUAACGAACUGAUGCUCCUCAAAACUAAGUUUUCCUUCUUCAAAUAGAAUUUUGAUCACUGGUGUGGUCUCUCCACUGAAGAAGGCCACGUGUAAGUGGUGACAGCUCACUGGAUGUGAUGAUCUGAACAUAGAGUGUGUAGUUGUCCCAAUUCCAUUUUCCUGCCUGAAUGGUGUCCUCUCUGGAACGGAAUCACAUUGCAGUAAUUUUCAGAUAAAGGAAUAGAGCAGAAUGUGCUUCAGAGAUUGCUAAUUUGCAUGUAAAAGCAGACGGAGAUUCUUCUGGAUUCUUAAACAGUGAAAAGAAAAUGUCCAUUAUCUCUAGGUGACAAAACUUCUUUUGGGGGUGUCAUUAUUCUCUCACAACUAAAUUGUUAUUUAGAGCAUCUGAGCAGUGUCUCCUUUCAUUUGCAGUAGUAUCUGUAAUACAGAAGAAAAUCUUGAAAUGCUUGAACAUGCCUUUGAAAUACUUUGUUUUCUUUCUGUUGCUAAAUUUCCCAAUAUUGAUACAGGUAAUUUAUUCUUUUUUUUAAUUAUUCAGAAUUUUUGCAUAUCUACUAAUGGAUUGAAAGCACUGGGGUGUACUUCCAGCUGAAGUCUUUUUUCCACUUCUGUAUCUUUUUUAUUUUGAGAAUUUAGUUCUGUACCUCACAACUCAUUAGUCCUGCCCCUAACUCACAAUUUCAAAAUUUGCAUUAUUUUGAAAUUUGUUUUUGAUUGUCCUUGAACAGUUUUCCUAUGAUUUAUUUUCACUGGGAACUCCCCCCACCUCCCACUUCCCAAAUUGCCUCUCACAGUAUUUUCUUUGAAAUGUAUCCUUUGAGUGAUUGAAUUGCUAAUAUUUUCCCAUUAACUCUUAAAAAAAAGUAAUGCACAAGAUUUUAUUUUUGUCCAUGAUCAGAAUGAUUUAUUUGGUUAAGAAGAUAGUACAAGUUAAAGGUACAUUCAAGCUAGUGGCAUAUUCCAAAGAGCAGGCAAAGACAGUUGUUUGCAAGUGGGAAGUUUAAGCCAUGAUCUUAAAAGGAUAGAGUGGGUGCUUGUUACUUAAAGUAUACGAAUAAUUGAUUUUUCACUGUCUCUUUCUUGAUCUGUUUUUCAUGAGUUUGGCCACUUUAACCUUACUAACAGCUGUGGUAUUUCUUUCUUCUGUGUUAGUUAAAAUACUCCACCUGAUUUUUUUUUUAUUUCUUUCUCAUUUUCUAAUUCAAUUAUGAAAUAAUGUGAACAGUCAACCUUCUCUUGUUUUUCUCUAUUGAAUAAUGCUAUGUGGGGGUGGUUUGAAGACUUUCUUCUUCUCUUUCCUCUUUCUCCUAACAAUACCAAUUGUAACUCCCCCAAACUGGUUAGAUCUUUAGUCCACAUCUCAUUGAAAAUUACCCUUCCCAAUUAAGAAAUGUCUGCAUUCUUGAAGCCUUUCCUAUAUACAGCUCGACAGCAUUAGUCUGACUUAUUCUUUACUAACAAGGGGGAAGUCUCUGUAAUGUGGAAAGAAAUGAAAAGCUACCUUUGCAUAGUGUAUGUAAAUACCUUCUUUCUAAUGAUUGGAACUUUUUGCCUGGCUACCAGGGAACUCAUAGUUUUACCUGAGGUGGGAAGACAGUUAUUUUGAUCACUGAUAUUUUGAUCACUGAAAUAACCAGUUUCACAGUUAGCUUAUUAUUAUUACUCACUUACUUCCUCCAUACCAGGUACAGGGCUGAAUGCGUUAUACAUGAUUCACCUUGUUUAAAUCCUAUGAUAGUUGUGGGAAGCAUUAUCUCCAUUGUACAAAUGAGGACAUUGAGGUUUAGGUGAAAUGAUUUGUUCAAGGUCACUCAGUAAUUUGUUGAUACGAGGUUUUAACUGAGGUCCGUGUGACAGCCAAACCUGCCCUCUUAACCACUGUGUUAUGCUGAGCCUCUUGGUCCUGAUUUUGCAUUUCUAUUUUGAGUGUGAGGUUUGGUCAAAAAAUUGCCUCAAGGCUUGCUAAGUGGAUUUAAACAUAUACAUGGCCUUAAACCCAGUGCUUCUGUGAAGUUGUACCUAACAACAGUUGGUGAUCCUAAAUCUGAACAAUUCCGUUUCCAGUAUUUCCGUGUCCAGCAUCAAGGUUCACUUUGAAAAUGUUUUAUGCUAACACUGCCCUGUGCUACUGCAGUGGAUGACUCUCCAACUGUUUUCCUAAGAGCUAAAGUGUGUAGUCAUGUUUCACUCUUAGUUUCUUAUUGGUUUGUGUUGCAAGAGUGACCCAAACCCAGUUUUGUGUUUUAGUCUUGAUUUUAUUUACAUCCUUUGUAGCCACUUCUGUGCUAAAUGGUUGCCAGGGAGCAUCCUGUCCAGCCCUGCCCCUCUGCGCUCCAGCCAUCCAUCUUUCUCUUUUUCAUUUGUUAGUUUUGUAGUUACUUAUACAUCUAAAAAAGAGUAAAAGUAAAACCCACUAGAGGAUUAUGAGAAUUUUAGAAAAACCAUCUAAAGCAAAAUAGUGCAGAGGAAGGAAAAGUUAAAUGAAAUGUUGCUUCCUCUGUGUGUAGAAGGUGCGCUAGAGGCUCUCCAGACACCUGACAAAAUCUUCCUAACAAAAGGCGGUGGGCUCUUAGCCACCCAGUUGUCUAGGCUGGGGUUGAAUUUGCAGAAUUAGUAACCAGUUGCUGUUUGCUUUGCUUUGUUUCUUUUAGCUUUGUAACAAUUGCAUCCCACCACUGCAGAACUCACUGUUUUACAGCUGCUAGAGACUUAGGCUGUUUUCUAGCUUUAUUUAAACUAGGAACAGGUAGGCUCACCAGAUGACGCUCUUUAAGGGAAUGUAAUGUGUAACUUUCACUUAAAACAUUAGGUGUACAGUUCUCUCUUCCUGUAACACCAGUCUUUCCAUAUUAAUGUGCUGAGAGUUUAACAUGAAAACCUUUUCCCCUCACCAGAUAAAGUGUUUCACUUGCCCAGAAUCUAGGAGGAUGUUUUUAUUGGUGUUUAGAGGAAUGAAUGGUAUUGGGGGUGGAGGGGUGAAUAUAUUUGUUUCUAUGAUCUUGUAUAUUUAUUAAUUUUGUGCAAUAACACAUGUUAAACUAUUAUAAUUUUUGCAUAUUUUUGGAACAUCAUUAUGUUUCUAUUUCAGGUGGUGUAGAAUCAGAGCUGGAAGGCAGGCAGCUCAUGGAUCAUCUAGUCCAGUGUUUGUGAAACUUCGCAGAUGAUAAGACUCACUUGGAUCACUUAUUAAGAAUUAGUCCCUAAGCCUCACUCAAAGACCUCCUGAACCAGAAUUUCUGGGGAAGGGGAUUUGGGAUCCCAUAUUGUUAAUAGUUACUGUGAGGUUAAUUCUUACAAUUAGAACUCAAACAAGAAACCACAAAUCCUACCAACACUGAAAAGGAGAGACAAUAAGAAGCAUUCUUUCUUUCAACAUCCCAUCACUGACAAUUCCAGAAUGUCUACACGGAGGAGUUCUAGGGGUGGCAUGCUGUGGAGGGGGGAGCUAGGGCACUAAUUACAAGUCCCCUCUGUAGAUGAUGUGUUAGACUGGGUUAGGGCUUGCUGGAGGUGAUGGGGGCUAACUCUCCCCUUAUUUUACAUCAGGGCUACCAUUGGUCAUAGAUGCUGCUGCACUGAUGGUGAUACCCUCAUUUCUCCAAAGCUAACCUCCUCUUGCUGUCAGACCUAGGUGGGGAAUUCACAUCCUGUGGGGAGAACACCACCUGCUAACAUAAAGGUUAAGAAGAAUAUACUCUUCCUGGAUCUACUUUGGACAAGUAACUUAGCCUCUUUAAGCCUCAGUUUUUUUCUGUGGUGAAAUGGAUGUUUUCUAACUCAUAGGGUACUUAGUAAGGAUUAAUGUGAUAAUAUCUAUGAAAAUACUUCUAGUAGUACCUGGUGCUUAGUGCUCAGUGAACUAUUAUUUUCAUGUAAUGAUUCUAUAGACUCUUCGUUGUUCUUGGUCUUUCUCUAGACUGGAGAUUGCAAAUCAAGAGAGACACCUUGGGCGGUGCGCGCUCGUAGAUGUUACGGAUGUUGCAAUCUUGAAAGUGGCUAAUUAUUGUAGGUGUUUUUUUUUUUUUUUUCUUUUCUUUUUUAUUGGGAUUGAAUUCUAGGCUUUUCUAGUGGUUGCUGUUACUUGACAAGAUGACCAUAUUUUUAAGGAUAACAGGGCAAUUGAUUACAUGUUCUGUCCUCCUUAGAGUAAGAAUACUGGAUUUAAAAAAAUCAUUCUUCUUAACUGUAAGUAACUGAAAAAACACAGUUUAAAAGAAAUAGAACAAGUGCUCAUGGAUUUUAGAAGAUCCUGAAUAACCAAAGUUUGAAGACUAAAGAAGGAUCUCAGAUUAUUCUGAUAAAAUAUUUUAACAUUGAUUACAUCAAAGCAUUAAAAAUGGUCAUGUCCAAUAUACAAGUUUUUGUUGCAUAAAGCAACGUAGAGUUGUAAUACUUUUGGAAGGCAACUGGGAGUCAUAAAAAUGGCCUACAUUUUGGUUUAGUAAUUUUUUUUCCCCCCUGGAAAUCUUAAUUCAGUGAUACAAUUCAAGAGAAGAAAAGAGCUAUGUUGGCUUUUUAUGUUGUAUAUAUGUUGCAGUAAUAUCUAUAAAUAGUGAAAAAUUGGAGAUAAAUAAAUACAUCCAGUACUUCAAGGCAGGGCAUCGAGGGGAAGGAGUUAAUGAAAUUAAAAGUGUCAACUACCAUUUAAUGAUAAUUUUAAAGGUCAUAUAGCAAUACGGGAAAAUUUAUACUGAUUAUUUUGCGUAGAUUAUAGAUGAGUAAAAAUAUACAUGUAUACAGACUGAAAGGGAAUACCUUCUCAAGUGUUAAUAGUUGAUGUGUUAGGAUAGCCAAUCUUUGGAAAAUUCCUUUGUUAACUUUGUACAAUAACGUACCUGGAAAAAAUUCAAAUCUGCUGAGAACAUUAUGAGUCCUGGUCUUAGGAAAACUAACCUUUGCUCAUAUUAAGGAACUCAUAUUAUUCUGUUUCUCCUUAGGGACAUUUUACUGCUGCAACAAAUGGUUCUUUUUAAAUUAAAAAAAAAAAAAUGGAGGCAUAAUUCACAUACUAUAAAAUUCACCCUUUUAAAGUGUACAAUUUGGUGGUUUUAGUGUAUUCACUAGACUGUACAGCCUUUGCUACUAUCUACCUUCCAGAACAUUUUCUUCUCCAAAAAGAAAUCCUAUACUCAUUAGUAGUCACUCUCUAUUUCCCACUCCCCACAGUCUCUGGAAACCAUCAAUCUACUUUGUCUCUAUGGAUUUGCCUAUUCUGGACAUUUCAUAUAAAUGAAAUCAUACAUAGUGUGGCCUUUUGUGUCUAGCUUCUUUUACUUAGUGUAAUAUUUUCAAGGUUUAUCCAUGUACAUCCAUGUAUCAUGUAUUGGAUAUUUUGUUCAUUUUCAUGGUCAAAUAAUACUCCAUUUUAUGGGUAUACCACAUUUUGUUUAUCCAUUCAUCAGUAGAUAGACGUUUAGGCUGUUUCUAGUUUUUGGUCAUUAUAAAUAAUGCUGCUGUGAACAUUGGUACACAUGUUUUUGUGUGGACGAUAUAACUUUUCAGUUCUCUUGGGUAGAUACCUAGGAGUAGGAUUGCUGCUGGGCCGUAUUGUUAGUCUGUUUUUAACUCUUUGAGAAACUGCCAGAUUGUUUUCCAAAGUGACUACAUCAUUUAACAUUCCUAUCAAUAAUGUAUGAGAAUUACAAUUUCUCCAUACCCUUGCCAACUCUUGUUAUUGUUUGUUUGGUUGGUUUUGUCCUUUUAAAUUAUAGCCAUCCCAGUAGGUGUGAAGUAGUAUUCAUUGUGGUUUUGAUUUGUAUUUCCCUAAAUGGCUAAUGAUGUUGAACAUCACUUCAUGUGCUUUUUGGCCAUUUGUAUAUCUUCUUCAGAGAAAAGUCUAUUCAGAUUUUUUUUUGCCCACUUUUAAUUGGAUUUUGUCUUUUUAUUAUUGAAUUGUAGGAAUUCUUGAAGUAUUCUAGAUACUAGUCACUUAUCAGCUAUAUAAUUUUCAAACAUUUUCUCACAUUCUGUGAGUUAUCUUUUUACUUUCUUGGUAGUAACCUUUGAAGCAAAUAAGUUUUUAAUUUUGAUGUAGUCCAGUUUCUCUCUCUCUCUUUUUUUUCCCUUUGUCACUUUGUUUUUAUUGUCAUAUCUAAGAAGGCCUUGCCAAAUCCCAGAUCAGAAAGAUUUAUGCCUAUGUUAUCUUCUAAGACUUUCAUGGUUUUAACUUUUACAUUUAGGCCUUUAAUCCAUUUUGAGUUAAUUUUUGUAUAUGGUGUGAGGUAGGGGUUCCAACAGCAUCCUUUUGCAUGUGAAUAUCUAAUUAUUCCAGCACUAUUUGUUGAAAAGACUAUUUCCCUAUUGGAUUGUCUUGGCAUCCUUGUCACAAGUUAUUUGACUGUAAACAUGAGGGUUUAUUUCUGACUCUAAACCUGUUUCCACUGAUUUAUAUGUCUUCUUAUGUUAGUAACACACUUUUUUGGUUCUUGUAGCUUUGUAGGUAAGUUUUGAAAUUGAAAAGUAUGAAUUCUCCAACUUUGCUCUUCUUUUUCAUGAUGGUUUUGGUUGUCAGAAUCCCUUGCAUUUCCAUAUGAAUUUUUAAUGGUUCUUGUCCAUUUCUACAAAAAAGGCAGUUGGAAUUUCGAUAGAGAUUGCAUUGAAUCUAUAGAACAAUUUGGGGGGUAUUGUAAUUUUAGCAAUAUUAAAUCUUCCAUCCCAUGAAUAUGGGAUAUCUUUCUAUUUAUUUAGGUCUUCUUUAGUUUCCUUCAAAAGUGUUUCAUAUUUUUCAGUGUAUUUGCAAUCUUUUUGUUAAAUAAAAUACUUUGAGAUAAAUUUAUUUUUUGAUGCUAUUGUAAAUGGAAUUGUUUUAUUAGUUUCUAGAUUGUUCACAGGUAGUAUAUAGAAAUAUAAUGUAUUUUUGUAUAUUGAUCUUGUAUCCUGCAACCUUGCUGAACUCUUAGAAAACAAAUGGUCUUUUAAAUAGAAAAUUGCUUUUCAAAAGCAUGUGAAUUUAGGGGGGUUACCUUAUGUUUGUUUCAUUUGAUUGUAGUGGAGUUUAUUUUUUCUUUAAAAAAUAUUAGGCAUUUUUACUUGCCACUUUCAUAUAUAUAGAAUGAAGCACCCAGUACUGAUUAUUAGCAUUGUCAUUCUUUGGGAAAUUUGAUAGGAAAGAAUAAAAUUUCUAUCUCAGAUUAGAUAUAGGAGACUGUAUGAAAUGUGUCAAAGAGACCAAAUUAUAGCUAGCUGGAGCUUAGGAGUUUAAAAGCUAAUCUGUUUCUUUCUAAUAGUCGGAGUGGCUUUGUAUCAAACUUGGGAUUUGGGCUAGGAGAUGAGCACAGAAAAGGUUGUGUUUGCUUAAUAUCUAAAUGGUUUUGCAGUGCCUUUCUUCUCUAGGCCAUUUUACCCAGGGUUUUCUUAGGGUCAUUUUUACAGAGACUGGAAAAAACACUGACUUUUAGUUACUCUGCAUUUCAUUUUGCCAUUGUCAGUAUAAUCCUUGUGGUUUUUGGGUACCAGGUAACCAGGAGAGACAAAAUGAAAGUCUCUGCUUGCUCUCUCUCUCUCUCUUUUUUUUUCUUGGUGCAGGGGUGGAGGGACUGGUAAUCUGAGAGGGAGAAUGUUUUCCCAUGCUAGCAAAGACAGACUGAGGGCAUCAUCUGAUCUUUAUGGAAGUGUGCAAAGCCUCAGUUUUUCCAUUUGCCCAUCUGCAAUCAUAAAAACAAUGUGCUGACUCAGCUUGGAGCCUCUGCAGAAUGGCAUUUGGGGCUUAGGCAGUCCUGAGAAUCAUGCAAGAGAUUGAAAAUAUUUGAGCAGGUUUUUAGAGGUAACAUUAAAAACAGCUAGAAAAGACAACAUACCCUCUCAUCUCCUUCAAGAUUUGUUUCCUUUAGUCUUUAGUGUACCACCUUGAUUUAAGGCAUGGAAGGAAUAAUUUGGUCUCUGUAGAGUUGAUUGUGGAGCAAAGAUUUUUUUCUUGCUCCAGUGGUUAUACUUUAGGGGCAUGGGAUUGUUUGGGGUGGGUGUGUGGAGGUGGUGGUGAAAGUCUGCUGAAAGCAAGUAAUUGGGGAAAAUGCUCUUAUUAUGUUGUAUUGACCAUCUGCUUACGUUUUUUUCCUUUAAAAUUUUAAUUUCCUUAUUCCUAUGUACAUAUAUUUGCCUGCAAAGCCUAGAAGAAUGUUUACCAAAAUGUUAACUGACAAUGACUACCUCCUGACGGUGGGUUUUAGUGGAGGAAGUAUGUUUUCCUAUGUUGCUGCAAGUUUUUUUAAGUAUGUAUUUUAUAAUGUUUGAGGGGGAAAUGAAAUCCAUUCAAAUGUUAUUAAAGUGUAAAUUUUGUAACACUGAUCUAGGUAUUUAGGUGAACUUCAGUGUAUUUAGGUGAAAUUCAUCCUUUUUUCUUAGGAAAUAUGGACCAUUUUGUCAUAAUGCAGCCAUACUGUCAUUUGUACCAUUUUCUCCCCCUCAUUGGAAUCCUUAGUGUUUGGGAUGAAAGAUGAAUAAGAUUUUAUAACCCGUAAGAUGUGUAUGUGUACAUGUGUAUGUGUGCACACAUACACAUGUACAAUAGCUUAUUAAAGUUAAUUUAAUUUUGUAUGUGAAAAAAAGGAAUUUAGGUUUUUGAGUUACAUUGGUUAUCAUUUGACAAAAUCUAGUUUAGAUUUGUAUCUGGACUGCCUGGAAUGAAGCUGUUUGAUACUUAUUUGGUUGCCCUUAUUAAAUAAAAAACUAGUGAAGUAAUUGAGUUUCACCUAGGUUUGUACUUUCAGCAUAAAGCUAUAAUCCCAAGAUAACCUCUCAUUUGGGGACACUGAGAUUCUAGAAACUGAUGCUUCCUUUCAUCUAUAGAAAUCAUCACUGUAAAACCAGUAAUAAUUAUUUUUAAAAGAGGACAAAAGAAUAAAAGAAAUGUUCUGGAACCACACAUGCUUGAAGCUCAGUAGUUUCCAGACCAUCUUAUACACUUGCUACAAUAAAAAGACAUUUUAACUUUGA